rnacentral:rRNA from 1 species
GGUUGAUCCUGCCAGCAAUCAUAUGCUUGUCUCAAAGAUUAAGCCAUGCAUGUCUAAGUAUAAGUGAUUGUACUGCGAAACUGCGAAUGGCUCAUUAUAUCAGUUAUAAUCUACUUGAUUGAUUCUGUUACUUGGAUAACUGUAGGAAUUCUAGAGCUAAUACAUGCAAAAAGUCUGGAUCGGGGGCAACCUCGGGAAGGACGCGUUUACUAGUCGAGAAACCAGGAUAGGGCGUUAACCUUUGGGCAACUGAAGGGUUCUAUUGUAACAGAUGACUCAUAGUAAGUCUCAC